UCUCGUUGUUUCUCGGGGCCAGGGCCCAGGUCUCUCAUAGAUCGCUAGCACCCUGCCUCCGGCGUGACGUCAUGGCGUGGGCGGCUCCCUGGUGUGGGAGGUGGCUGCGCGGGCGGGCGGCCUUGGGUCGCCGACCGCCGCCCUGAGAUGGAAGGCCUCGGGCUGAUGGACUGGUAGGAACCGGAAGCUUGCCCGCGACCAUGCUGUGUCUGGCUAAAGUCUUUCCGGCGGCCUCCUUUGGGCUCCUCUGCGCAGCAGGAAUUCGAUUCCUUUUCUGCCUAGGGCCCAGAGGCCAAUGGAGCGCCUCGCGAAGUCGGCCUUUAAGCGCGGGAGGUUGGCCCCUGCCCUUUGGGCCUUUUUCGUGUGACUUCUCUCAACUUCAGUUUUCUCGGGAAAAGUAACGAGGCGAAAGCUGGCCGCUUGGUUAAACAGUGUCGGCGUGGACCGGCCAGGAAGAAGAGGGAUGGGAAUCAGAUAUCAGGAAGGAGCAAAAUCUGAUGGUAAAGAUUAGAGAUCUCAAGGUUUGUACCAGUAGAACAAUCCAUAAACCAGGUAUUCUUAAACCGG